GGCCAAGCGUGGUCAGCGAUUUGACCAGGCUGUUGGCCAGGGAGUAGUUACGCGCCUGGGCUGCCAGUUUGGCGCGGUUCCAGCGCUUGGCCUC
rnacentral:tRNA from 2 species